UAAGUAACCUGGUAGGGGAGACACCAUGAUCAGGUAGGUGGUUUUCUCAAGGUAACGCUCAUCCUUUGCAUUCCAGGUGUGCUGGCCCCUGCAGUUUCCCUAAAUGCAGGAAACUCAACUGCAUAGUUUGUAGUAGUGGGGGACUGUGUUCACACUCUCCCAAA
ensembl:snRNA U1 U1 spliceosomal RNA